CAGGUUUUCCUUUUUUAGGACCACAAUUGUAACCUGUACUUCACUGUCAAAUGACACCAUUACUAAGUGAAACUAAUAGGAAUAAAGAGGAUUUCCAGACCUGCAAAUAUGGGGUUUGGCCCAUUGCUGGUCAAUAAGAUAAGAGGAGGGUGAAUUUUCUCUGUGAGCUUUUCCUGAGUCCCAAGAUUCACAUCACCAGAAGGCUGUUUGAGAUGCACAAAUCCCAGGAAAUGAACAUAUCGAGGCAAAGGGAUCAGCCUCCCUUUCUACUUGGCCUGCCACUUUGUGCUAUGCUGCUUGAGGGCAAAUGGGAAACAACUGAAGGGACCCAAGUUGGCAGGGCCAGCUCUAGACAUUUAGGCCACCUAAGGAGAGUCAUAUUCUGAAGUCUUCAAUUUUGGUACCCUCCCCCCACAAGUCAUGGCACUCCUAGGCUGGUGCCCACUCUGUCUUUGCCUAAAGCUGGCCCUGUGGGGAAGCUGAUACUUUUGGCAGGUUCUUCUGCUCUGUGUUAGUCUGGACACCUGGAAGGAGGAUGGAAAAGAAGAUGCAAUUACCAAAUUGUGCUUUAGAAUCAAAUAAAGCUUCUGCACAUUGGAUUUGUUUUUGUUUUCUGAUAAUAUAAUGAUGAGCACUUGGCAUUGGUUUAGUUUGUGGCAAAAUAUGUUCAAACUAACAUGUAUUGUCCUUGAUGUAGGGAAUGAAGCAUGUAAUAUAAAGGUGACUAAGGCAGCAAGUUAAUUUACAUUUUAUUUCAUAUGUAAAUGAAAUACAAAAGACUGUGGUUUGGCGAGAAAUAACAAAUAGAGCAUUAAUUAAUGGAAAUGAAAGAAAAUGUAUCUGAAAGAAGGAAAGAUGUUAGAUAUCAGAAUGAAGGUCUUAUCCUGUGGAUCACUGCUGAUAAAAAAAAAGUACAGGGAAGUGAAGGGCCAGCCUUAAUUAUAAACAAAAGAGUUAAAAGGUUUGUGAGAAACUGUAUAUGUCCUUGUUACAAAAAUAGCUGGUCAUCUUUGUAUAUAAUGCUCCCAUGAAUAGGAAGAGCCAGAAAUGAAUUUUGGGGGGAAAUGUGUAAAGUUUUUAAUGAAUCUGAUUCAGAUGUAAAAGAAUAUUUUGGUAAGUGGUGUAGAUAAAUAGGUAGGGACAAAAUGAGAUACCACAUAAAAAAGGGGUUUAGGUUAAUUGAAGACCCCAGAUUGAGAAUACACUUGGAUGAAUAAUUACUUAGAAAGAGUUCUGUUCGUUUCAAAUAUGUGAUUCUGGAAUAAAU